rnacentral:rRNA from 1 species
CAGUAGCCACGGUAAUACGUAGGGCGCAAGCGUUGUCCGGAAUUAUUGGGCGUAAAGAGCUCGUAGGCGGUCUGUCGCGUCUGGUGUGAAAUCCCGAGGCUCAACCUCGGGCUUGCAUCGGGUACGGGCAGACUAGAGUGCGGUAGGGGAGACUGGAAUUCCUGGUGUAGCGGUGGAAUGCGCAGAUAUCAGGAGGAACACCGAUGGCGAAGGCAGGUCUCUGGGCCGCAACUGACGCUGAGGAGCGAAAGCAUGGGGAGCGAACAGGAUUAGAUACCCCAGUAGUCCCUGUCUCUUAUAA